AUACGGAGGGUGCUAACGUUGCUCGGAAUCAUUGGGCGUAAAGCGCGUGUAGGCGGUCUGUUAAGUCGAGUGUGAAAGCCCUGGGCUCAACCCAGGAAGUGCGCUCGAUACUGGCAGACUAGAGUACGGGAGAGGGUAGCGGAAUUCCCGGUGUAGAGGUGAAAUUCGUAGAUAUCGGGAGGAACACCAGUGGCGAAGGCGGCUAUCUGGACCGAUACUGACGCUGAGGCGCGAAAGCGUGGGGAGCAAACAGGAUUAGAAACCCCAGUAGUCC
rnacentral:rRNA from 1 species